GAUGAACGCUAGCGGCAGGCCUAACACAUGCAAGUCGAGGGGGUAGAGUUCUUCGGGACUUGAGACCGGCGCACGGGUGCGUAACGCGUAUGCAAUCUACCUUAUACAGGGGAAUAGCCCAGAGAAAUUUGGAUUAAUGCCCCAUAGUGUUAUCGAAUCGCAUGGUUUGAUAACUAAAGUUCCAACGGUAUAAGAUGAGCAUGCGUCCCAUUAGUUAGUUGGUAAGGUAACGGCUUACCAAGACAAUGAUGGGUAGGGGUCCUGAGAGGGAGAUCCCCCACACUGGUACUGAGACACGGACCAGACUCCUACGGGAGGCAGCAGUGAGGAAUAUUGGUCAAUGGGCGCAAGCCUGAACCAGCCAUGCCGCGUGCAGGAAGACGGUCCUAUGGAUUGUAAACUGCUUUUAUACAGGAAGAAACCCUCCCACGUGUGGGAGCUUGACGGUACUGUAGGAAUAAGGAUCGGCUAACUCCGUG
rnacentral:rRNA from 1 species